UUGAUUGAGCCAUUUUUCGACCUUAUAUUUGAGUUUAGGGUUGGAGGGGCUUUCUCUCCUCCGCCUGACUGUCUUAGUAAGCUGGGGAGCUAAUCACUAAGAGAACAAUCAGGAUGAUGACUAGCUUCAUCAUAACCCUUUCUUCAUGUU
rnacentral:sRNA from 1 species